GUUUCUGAUGGAUGAUGUUAUCUGCCUUCUGCCCUUGGCCCUUUCAGUGGGAAGCUCAUUCAUGGCAAAUCUACUCUGCUGUCGGGACUCUUGACUGAGAAUUCGAGCAUGGUCACUCAGGCAUGGCUUCCCUAGUCAUCUGGAUACUGUGGAUGCCCCGGUUUGAUGGGGUUUUGUUAUCCAGCAGCUGCUUCUAUCUGCUCCUUACUGUCUAUUCUUUUCCUUGUGCACAGUGUAUACUUAAUAGAUAAAAACACUCAUUUGACAUGGAAAGCCGUCUCCAUACUGCACAGAACAUCACCUCAGCUGUAAAUGAACUUGUCCUAAAGUUCUGCCUCCUGUGACCCCUGGCCUCUGACAGGCACAAAUCUGAGGCCUCCCCCAACCAAACCUUAAGGCAAAGUUAACCUCAGCUAAAAUCACUCCCAAGUCACUAAGGAUGGGACUCCCCUCAGCUCCCUGCUGAGGUGGAAAUAUGGAGAAACAGAAAGUGCCCAGAGAAGAAGUGAGGCAGGAGGUGUCCUUGAGUAUUUGGGCUGUCUCAGGAGUCUGAACACUGCCUUGGGGGAGAGCACUGUGAGGCUUAGGAAUGAAGCAGAGGUCACACUGUCUGUGACAAAGGGCGUACCAGCUUUUGGAACUGUUCACGUGGACAGACACCUGGAUAAAAGUAUAACCAACAAGGCCCCGCUGUGGGAUAGGACUGUUAUCCUCAGGCCUGUAACCAUCCAUCCGGACCUCAGGUGGGCAGAACUUGUGAUGGUGAUAUCUUAGAUAGAUAGGGUUGUCCCACACUCCUCCUAUGUCAGUCUGUGAUGGGGCCACUGAAAUAUAGCCAUCUCCUCCCAAGGUUAGCACCUGUCAAAAUCUAUGAUGUUCACACGUGUAGGACACCUGCCUUGAACUUUGGAGGGACAAUGGUGACAGAGUACACCCCAGAAC
rnacentral:lncRNA from 1 species